AUGAACAUUGCCCUUCUAUCCCGCUGGCUCUGGCGUAUUUCCCAGGGACACGGUGGUCUCUGGUUGGACAUCAUCCGGCAUAAAUACUUGCGUGGCCAGCCUCUGGCCUUCUGCCAGCGUUCAGGUGGGUCCUAGUUCUGGCAGUCGGUCAUCCAACUGCUUCCCGUUCUCCGCAUUGGGACCUCCAUCUCGGUAGGCUCGGGUGCGGCGACCCUGUUCUGGUUUGACCGAUGGGCGGGUGACGCUCCGUUCGCUGCCCGCUUUCCGGACCUCUUCUCCAUCGCCAUCGUUCCUACAAUCUCAGUUCAACAGGCCCUUAUUGACUUAGGGCGCCUCGCGUUCCGGAGGCCAUUUGGGCCUCCGGAAGUGGCCGCUUGGCAUGAACUUCUUGAUUGUAUUGCUCUCCAUGAACCGUUGGUGGACUCGGACCCGGAUGCGGUUCGGUGGCGCCUCGAGCCCUCGGGACAAUUCUCCACUAAGUCCCUCUACGCGGCUAUCGCCCCCUCCUCCGCUCCGCCGCCCCUCCUGGCGAUCUGGUCCAUUCGCUUGCCCCUCAAAAUCCGCAUCUUCAUGUGGCAAUGGAUCCGUGGCCGGCUGCCGUUGGGAGUUGAGGUUCGCAAGCGCAAUGGUCCGGGCUCCGGCCUCUGCCCCCUAAGUGAUACCCCCGAAGACUCGAACCACAUCUUCUUCUCCUGCGUAUCUGCUCAAUUUGUUUGGAGCUGCUUUCGUGAGGCGGUUGGUGGGGAUUGGUGCCACUCCAACUUCCCCGACCUCUUCGCCGAGCUUCAGGCCUCGCCGGCGCCCUCUCGCCACAUUAGGUGA
rnacentral:rRNA from 1 species